rnacentral:lncRNA from 11 species
CGGCUACAGAACUCUGGAGGGUUCCUGACCAUUGCCAUGAGACCUCCACACAACCUGGAGAGAAGAGAUUUAUAGUCAGGUGAUCCCACCCUCAAGGAUAACCAAAUAAAUCUUUGGUACAGAAGCCUCAGACUACUUUUGGUGUUCAGGAAAGGAACAUCACUGUCAACACUAAAAUCUCUCAGAGAACGCAUCCGGGGAUGGGGACCGGUUUUGGGGAGUAAUUUCACAUAGUUUCAUUGUUCUCCAGUCAUAAUUUUAAAAAAAUCAACAUUGCAGAUUGGUUGCAUGAGUAAAAGUAUAAUUGCCACAUUGAAGUACAUUCCGCUUUCAUUUGGCUAGAUUAAAUAGUCUGCUAC